CCCCGCCUAGCUCAAUCGGAUAGAGCGUCAGACUCUUAAUGUAGUUGACAAGGCGAAUUUGGGAAUCUGAAGGCUGCGAGUUCGACCCUCGCGGUGGGCU